UUGUAUUGAAAAGAGUAUGUGAACCAGUCAAAGCGUAUCUGAGGACUCGAAGCAAUAUAGUGACAUGAUCAUGGCCAGUUUGAUUGAUGAUAGUAACAACGACCUUUCGGAGGAGCUGGUGAAAGGUGAGACUGUGUUGCUUGAUCUUUCUGAUGAGUAUGAUGAUCCUGAUCAGGACUUUGAGGCUUGGGAACCAGAUCCAGUAGAUGCCAACCCUAUGAAGUCAUUAAAAAGUCAGCAAACUUCAAAUAUAAUAAGUUCCAGAACGUCCUCCAAAACCAGAGGAAAGGUCAUGACAAGUGGAUGGGUCAUUGAACCUUAAAAACUACUCACACAAGUCAUGUAUUUUAUGGAGGUAAAUAUGAAAGAAGUACCGGCAGUAACAUUAGCCAUUUCAAUAUGAUUACUUAGAUCAACUAUAGUUAGUUUAUUAUCAAGUACUGAUUCACUAGCUGUGAUGUAUAAAACAUAAUUUAUAAUUAUGCUAUAUACCAGAACAUGUGAACAAUGAUGGUAUUAUUUUGA